rnacentral:misc_RNA from 1 species
AAUCAACGGUCGUGAAAAUCGAGCAAAGCUCCGUGCGAAAAUCGCAGAAAUUCGUUGAACGAAAUUGAUUUCAGACGUGUGUUGGUGCAUUUCGCUGAACGCAAUCGUAUAACCAGUAUUAAAUAAAUAAAAUAACAAAGCAUUCGCAUAGCAAGUUCCUGAAGGAUAUUCCCAGAAAUAAGAUUAAAAGAAAAAAACCGCGCGUGUGUCUACGAUUUUUGAGAGUGUGUGUGAAAAAUCCGCCCUUAACAGCAGCCAGGAAUUCCGAAUCCCGAAGCUAAGCCAAGUCAAACUUUGAAGGCAAGCACGGACACUCCGCCGGGGCACUCCGCACGUUGAUGGCUGCCACGAAAAUCAUCGAUGCACCGCGCAACGGCCACGAGAUGGCGCCACUGAACACACGGGCCCGGGGCGAUGGCACCCACGGAGUGACCAUCGUCCUUACCGCCCCGCAGCGCAACUCCGUCCAGUCGGUGGACAUACCGGGCGGUGAGCCGGAACGGGCCGCCUGGAGCGGCAAGAUGCAGUUCUUCCUCAGCAUUAUCGGCUAUUCGGUGGGCCUGGGCAAUAUCUGGAGAUUUCCGUACCUGUGCCAGCAGAAUGGCGGCGGUGCGUUUCUGAUACCCUUCAUGAUUAUGCUGAUACUGGAGGGCAUACCCCUCUUCCUCAUCGAGCUGGGCAUCGGCCAGAGAAUGCGACUGGGCGCCCUGGGGGUCUGGAACACCAUCCACCCCUGGCUGGGCGGCAUCGGCAUCUCCUCGUGCAUUGUGACGCUCUUUGUGGCCCUCUACUACAACGUGAUCAUCACGUGGGUGUUCUUCUACCUCUUCAAUAGUUUUCGGUAUCCUUUGCCAUGGUCUUCUUGCCCCACCAACGGCACCGGAUUCGAGCUGGAGGAGUGCGCCAAGUCCUCGGAGACGACGUACUUCUGGUAUCGAACCACCUUGGAUGCGGCUCCCUCGAUGGACGAGCCCGGCGGCCUGAAGUGGUGGAUUGUCCUCUGCCUGCUUCUCUCCUGGACCAUUGUCUUCUUCAUCGUGAUGAAGGGCAUCCAGAGCUCCGGCAAGGUGGUCUACUUCACCUCCCUGUUCCCCUACAUCGUGUUGACCAUCUUCUUCAUACGGGGCAUAACCCUCCGAGGAGCGGGAGCCGGGCUGAUGCACAUGUACACGCCGAAGGUGGAGAAGCUGCUGGAGCCGACAGUCUGGCUGGAUGCAGCCACCCAGGUGUUUUAUUCCUUCGGCCUGGCCUUUGGCUCCCUGAUUGCCUUCGGCAGCUACAACACGCCCAAGAACAACUGUGUGAGGGACGUGCUCCUGGUCUCCGUCUGCAAUGCCAUUACGGCCAUCUACGCCAGUGUGGUCAUCUUUGCCAUUCUCGGCUUCAAGGCCACCGUCAAUGUGGAUCGUUGUGUGGACAGCAAUACGGAGAUCCUGGUGAAGAACAAUCUGCUGGAAGUGAAUGCCACACGGCUGGUCUACGACCAAACAAUAGCCAAGUAUAACACCACGGAAAUGGCCAAGUUCCAUCUGAGCGAAUGUAGUUUAAGCCAUGAAUUAGACAAUGCUGCUGAGGGCACUGGCCUGGCCUUCAUCGUGUUCACCCAAGCCAUUGUGGAACUGCCAGGAGCUCCGUUCUGGGCCGUCCUCUUCUUCACCAUGCUGCUAUCGCUGGGACUGGGAUCACAGAUCGGCAUCCUGGAGGGCAUGCUCUGCACCCUCUUCGACAUAGACAUUAUCAAGCGGGUUAAGAAACAGCAUGUCACUGGCGUGGUAUGUCUCUUCUGCUUUAUUGUCGGUUUCAUCUUCUGCACAGGUGCCGGGGAGUACUGGCUCAAGAUGUUCGACUCGUUUGCCGGCACCAUUGGCCUGGUGGUGGUGGCCCUCAUGGAGAUGAUAGCCGUAAUCUUUAUCUACGGACAUGAGCGCUUCACUGAGGACAUCUACCAGAUGACUGGCUACAGACCAGGUCUCUACUGGCAGCUUACUUGGCGGUACAUUGGCCCUGUGAUCAUGGUCUGCAUUCUGGUCUCUUCCGUGGUCUUUAUGGUCAUCAGGAAUCCCACAUACGGAGCUUGGAAUGCUGAUUUGGGUAUGAUCGAGCAAAAGGACUAUCCCAACUGGGUGAUGAUCGUUGCCAUCUCGAUGAUCCUGGCCGGGGUCCUGCCCAUGCCCAUUGUGUUCCUCAUGCGCAGCUUCCAGUGCCUCAAGGUGGACCUGGACAUACACCAGGGCUCGAUCCGCCGCAACGAGACAACCGCCUCCACCAAGGAGAUGAUCGACAAUGACGACGAUGACGACGACGAGGACGAUGAGAACGACUUCAGCGGCCCAGCGUUGGGCGGCCAUGUGAAGACCCAGAGCGAUUUCUCCGACGACGAGGAGGAGGACAAGCCGAUGACCAUGCGAAUGAUGAUGAUGCGUCCGACCACCACCACCAAGACAUCGAACGUGCUAAAUGUGCCAACAAGCAGAAAGCCCAACUACAAGAAGGACGCGUACGAUGUGUAGACAAGCCACAAAGCCCACUCCAAUAGGUACAGAUACAGCUACAGCUACAGCAGGAGACAGAUACAGAUACAGAUACAAGAUACAGGUAAUGGUCCAGGUGCGAACCGAAUCGAAAAAUGGCAAGUAAAAUAUUAACUCAACCGAAAUGUGAAGAGAGACGAGUGGGAGGAGGAGAAUGUAUGCCGAGCUGAGCGCAAACAUUUAUAAAUAUUUACGAUAAGUAUUUUAAAAUAAUUUAAAGCUAAGUCUAAGAGAACUACCAAGAUAAAACCCAAGGAGCUAACUAAACUAAAUUUAAAGCAAAAACUAUGUACGAGUACAAUGGAAAAGAUAACAAAUAUGUGGAAGUCUAUUAACUAAAAACGGGUUGCUAAAGUUUAAAUUUAAAUUCGAUUAUGUAGCAUUUAGUUGGAAUGUUUUAAGCUUUACAAUUAGAAAUUCGAGCACACAAAGUCCAAGUAUUUCCGAGUCCCAAGCGCUCCUUAAGUCCCAGUCCCAGUCCCACCCACAUUCCUAUCCCAUUCCAAUCUCCAUUCCCAUCCCUUCGACUUACCAUCCCCUACAAAAUAAAAUAAAAUACUUGAAUGGCAAAAACGCUUCUUAGUCGACUUUUAGCCAGCGCAUUUCCAACGAGUUAAACUCAACAUUUAGUUUUAGUAGAGACCUGCCGUUAUUAUGUUUAUUUUUAUUUUUGACUUCAAGUACUUGCCCGACCUAUAAAUAUGUAGAAACAGAGUUACACACUUUACUAUUAAUUCAGAGAGGUUAAGCGCGUUGAGACACAAUAUAUUGUAUUAACACUUCGAGUUCUAGUUGAGUUGAACAAAAUACCUAUACUUACUAUACUGAUUAGAAAAUGAGAUACAUGGAAUGUGUGAUAUUCUAAAUAAUAUCCUCAAGUUCUAGGCGUUAAGGCACUCAUCUUACCCUCCCAAGCCCUAAGCUCCAAUCUCCCACCUCCAUCCCUCUAUUACUAUUAAAUCAGGCACUCAAUUUUCUAUUUCCCCCGAAACACUCAAGAGUAUUUUCCUAAACUGACAGAACUAAGCAAUGAAAACAAAACCAAGAACCAAGAAAAGUAAAAGAAAAUAAACUGCUGUGAAUAGUGUUAGUGGUUGUAAAGUUCUAUCGAAGAAGAGAAAACCAUAAAAACCAUAAAGUCUAAUAUUUAACUAGUUCUUAAGCAGCACUCCAUCGUUAAGUUGAAUUUGAUCCGUCACUGAGAACUCUAAAACAUAUUUCCAAUUCGGUUUCUUCAAAAUGGUUUUCUAAUUUUUCAAAAAUAAAAACAAAAGCAAAAUGAAAAGGCAAAGACAUACAGCUAAAUCAAAACACAUGGAAUUUCAAAGUACUCAAAGUCAAUGCAAUGGAUGGACGGCAUAACGUUGAAGACAAUAAGACAAUUAUAGAAAUAUACUUAUGAUAUGGCCCGUCGAGUUUAGUGAAGAAUUUGUAGUAGUCACCGUGGCAGACGUGGCAGUUUUCCCCGCUAGCCGUACAGGAAUUUAAAAGCCAUUUUUUAUUGGGAGAUUUAUAUACUUUUUGUCAGGAACAUUUACAGAGUAUAAGGUCUCCUCCACCAAUCAGUUGAACCUCGUGUCCCUCCACAUCCAUUUAAUAAAUCAAAUCCUCGCAAAAUGCAACCGAAAACCAAAAACCAAUAAACCAAAAACCAAAUACAAAACAUAGUACCAAAUGCCUAAGUGUAUAGUUUACUUGUUUACCGACACUAUAUAUACGAGCAUAAACCUAUAUAUAUAUAUGAAAAGUAUAUAUAUACAGUACCGUACCUACAUAUUAAUCUAUAUACCUAGCUCUAUUAUAACUAUUGUACAUCAAUUAUUGUCGUAGUGCUAGAGCCCCCAAGGACUCGUGUAAAUUUGAAUGUAUUAAAAUCGAAAAACAAACAAAAAAACACUGCAAAGAGAUGAAUACUUAUAUGGAAAUUAAAUAUAUCGUACGCAAGAAAUUAUUACUAAUAAAGAUAUUUCAAGAUUAGUGCGUUAAGUUGAAGAAGAGCAAA